GCAGUUGGGUCAACAGGAGCCAAAACUCGUCUAUGGGUGCAAGGUCUAUUUCUUUAACAACAUUGAUGAAUUGGAAUCAGUCUGGAGUGGCAAAGGACAAAACCAUCAGUCAGUCGGGGAGCUGUGGGUUGGCCUCCUACGUUAUUAUGCAGAGUUCAACAUAAAAAA